rnacentral:rRNA from 1 species
UAAACAGCUAGCUUAACCACCUAAACAACUAAAACAACAUUAAACCAUUUAACAAAACCACAACACAUAAAAUAAAACAUUCUACCGCCCAAGUAUGUGAGACAAAAAAGGCAAGCCUAAGCUACAAAAAUAGUACCGCAAGGGAACGCUGAAAGAGAAAUGAAACAAAUCAUUAAAGCACUACAAAGCAAAGACUAACCCUUGUACCUUUUGCAUCAUGAUUUAGCUAGUCAUAUCUGAGCAAAGAGUACUUUAGUUCAAAGCCCCGAAACUAAGUGAGCUACCCCGAGACAGCCUAUUAAUUAGGGCAAACCCGUCUCUGUGGCAAAAGAGUGGGAAGAGCUCCGGGUAGAGGUGACAGACCUACCGAACUUAGUUAUAGCUGGUUGCCUAAGAAAUGGAUAUUAGUUCAGCCUCGCACUCCUUAGCCCACAAACAUCUAAAUACCACGGGCCAAAGAAAUACACGAGAGUUAGUCAGAGGGGGUACAGCCCCUCUGAAACAGGAUACAACCUCACACAGGAGGUUAAAGAUUAUAUUAAAAAAGAUACACCGCUUUAGUGGGCCUAAAAGCAGCCACCUAAACAGAUAGCGUUAAAGCUCCAGCGGACUAUAAAUCAAUUAUUCAAAUAAUUAAUCUUAUACCCCUAAUAAUAUUAGGCUAUUCCAUGCCCCCAUGGAAGAAAUACUGCUAAAAUGAGUAAUAAGAAGGCACCCCCUUCUCCCAGGCCCAAGUGUAUGCUAGAUCGGACCCCCCGCUAGUAAUUAUCGAACCCAACCAAAGAGGGCAAUGCGAUUAUACCAUACACCAAGAAAAAAUCGCAUAACCAAAUCGUUAAACCCACACUGGAAGGCCCAACGGAAAGACUAAAAGAAAAGGAAGGAACUCGGCAAACACAAGCCUCGCCUGUUUACCAAAAACAUCGCCUCCUGCAAACCCCAACGUAUAGGAGGUCUUGCCUGCCCAGUGACAAGUUAAACGGCCGCGGUAUUUUGACCGUGCGAAGGUAGCGCAAUCACUUGUCUUUUAAAUGAAGACCUGUAUGAAUGGCGAAACGAGGGCUUAACUGUCUCCCCUUUCCAGUCAAUGAAAUUGAUCUGCCCGUGCAGAAGCGGACAUAUAUAUACAAGACGAGAAGACCCUUUGGAGCUUAAGAUAAUGAAUCAACUAUGUCAAGAGCCUAUAACCAGGCCAAACUAAAUAAUAACUGAUCCCUAUCUUCAGUUGGGGCGACUACGGGAGAAAAUAAAGCUCCCACGAGGACUGGGACACUAAACCUAGAACCAAGAAAGGCACUUCUAAGUAACAGAACAUCUGACCUUUUAAGAUCCGGCCACCAGCCGACCAACGAACCAAGUUACCCUAGGGAUAACAGCGCAAUCCCCUUUCAGAGUCCAUAUCGACAAGGGGGUUUACGACCUCGAUGUUGGAUCAGGACAUCCUAAUGGUGCAGCCGCUAUUAAGGGUUCGUUUGUUCAACGAUUAAAGUCCUACGUGAUCUGAGUUCAGACCGGAGCAAUCCAGGUCAGUUUCUAUCUGUAACGCCACUCUUCCCAGUACGAAAGGACCGGAAAAGAGGGGCCCAUGUUACAAAUAUGCCCCACCCCAACUUAAUGAAAUCAACUAAACUAAACAAAGGGAAAACAUAACCCACCGAUUUAAAUAAGAUU